rnacentral:tRNA from 1 species
GCCGCGGUCGCAUAACCUGGUAUUGCGCCAGCCUGGAGAGCUGGUGUCCCUUUGGGGACGUGUGGGUUCGAAUCCCACCCGCGGCG